rnacentral:rRNA from 1 species
CCUACGGGAGGCAGCAGUGGGGAAUAUUGCACAAUGGGGGAAACCCUGAUGCAGCGACGCCGCGUGGGUGAUGAAGGUUUUCGGCUCGUAAAGCCCUAUUAGUAGGGAAGAUAAUGACGGUAUCUGACGAAUAAGCCCCGGCUAACUCCGUGCCAGCAGCCGCGGUAAUACGGAGGGGGCAAGCGUUACCCGGAAUUACUGGGCGUAAAGGGCGCGUAGGCGGGAUAGCAAGUCAGAUGUGAAAUCCCAUGGCUUAACCAUAGAACUGCAUUUGAAACUGUUAUGCUAGAGUACGGGAGAGGUAGGUGGAAUUCCUGGUGUAGGGGUAAAAUGCGUAGAGAUCAAGAGGAACA